AAACGGAAUGUCAUCGUUCUCGCUGCCGUUUCGGCUCUCAUCCUAGUCAAUGUUCCAUACUGGAAUUCUUUUUAGCCAGGUACAUCUUCGAGGACGACUUUUUUAUUGAAGUGGAUCCUGUUCAUCCGACGAUAUUACAUGUACCAACGGUUCUGCUACUUCGUUCGUGAGCCGAAUUGAAGGAGGAGAGAGUAGUGGUGGUGAAGUCGAGAAAUAAGAGCCUGCGAUUCUCUCAUCAUGUGCAUAGCCACAACUCCAAACAAGGCCCACGUAACGGUGACUACAUCGGUAACAUUCUGCGCGCAUCAUCCAGCAAGGAGUUGAUAUUAGGAGCUCGAGGGAUUUACGACAUAUUCUUCUUCUUCGAGGUCAUCAUCGCCCUUGACCUUAUUUUCGGUGUCAUCGUUCGCUCUGAGGAGUGAGAAACAACAAAAGGAGGAAAUUUUCCGACAAUAAAGCCGUCAGGUUCGAGGAUCACAUCCGCUACGAGCACAACAUGUAGCGCCAUCUUUUCUCCGAUCCUACAGAAUUCACUGGAACCGAUAACAAUUUCGACGCCCUGGUUUAACACCAAAUCUAGGAAUUGUUUCCACGAUUACGGACGACCUCAUUAAGCAGCCGACGAUGAACAGUCCUAACAAAACGAAAUACCUGCACUUCAGGUUCAACUUGAAAAUCAUUCUAACUGGUUGUCCGUUUGGAUCUACAUUUGGUGCAGGCAUGUUGAUGAUUGCUUUCUACAUGCGUCCGUUGCAAAUUCUUCAAAGAACUAAACAAUUAAUUAAGAUGGCUGCUAUCCACUCCCGAUGACAGUCCGCGCAACCAAACUGGUAGUCGGCAACAACAAUUAAUUAUCGAGAAAAUUCGAGAUCAACAGCAACAAAUGCAAAUGUGUGAAAUGAUAAAGGCUAAGAUGGAGAUGAGCAGAUGAGCUGUAGUCGCGAGCUGUAUCUUAUAUCCAUUCUUCUCACAUAGCUGUGUCGACUGCUGUGACUUCCACGAGGGGUAGCUAUAAAUUCCAAGUAGCUCAUCCAGGAAAAAUAUUCAGAUCAGAUAAAUGUAUAUUAUCAGUCCAAUUAGAAAAUUUAAUUGACGACCGAUGGCAAAGUUCAUCGGUUUGCGCUGCAAGAAUUUAUACGGAAUCAUCUCAAACUCGUCUACCAAAUUCUGAGCUCUUCUAUGACCCAACCCCAACGACAUAUAUACUCCGCUGUGUCAACCGCUGUGUGGUUUUUGCUUGACUGUUUGGUUGGUUCUAAGGUUUAUUCACGGGCACCCCAUCACCUUUCACGUGGUUGAAAUAACACGUAAUACAUCUGCUUGACCAUCCGUUUCUUGCAGGUGGUAGUCUGGCAGCCAAAAUGCAAAUUUGCCAAGCACUUUGUUAAUGCCUGACUGAAAUUGUCUCUGUCAUCCAUAAGUUCCUUAGCCUGCUGUACAGUCCGGAAUACGAAAUCGAAUUACAACUGGUUAUUAGUUUGGAACCGGUGAAAUAUGUUGUUUUCAAAUUUUAAAAAAGUCAUCGAGGAACUCCGUCAACGUCAAUUCUUAUUUCGUUAUUUGCCAACCAACAGUUCCUGAAGAGUUGAUCCCGAGACCACUGUUUCAUGUGCCUUGACACGAACGAUACGAAUUACGUGUAAACCUAAAAGUGAACAAAGAUGAUUGACGAGAGUGGCGCCAUACGGAAGCGGCUCACCUCUGGAAGAUGUUUAGCGAAGAUGAAGUGGAAGCAAAAUGCAGUCAUUCCGUAUCCUCCACUACCGAAUCAGUACCUCUGCUCACAGUCUGAUUGAAUUGUUGACGAGUAUGGUUAAUCGGUCCAUUCAUCUAAUUGGCCUAGUAAAAUGAAAUCCUGAUGGAUUUGGUAGUAAAUUGUUGGUUAUGAGCAUGGUUAAUUGGUCAUGAGUAUGACAGGGGCUUGGCCGCUUGGGGCACUGAAGAGGACAUCUGGUGGCCAGGUUUGUCUUCAGUUGUUGGACCUUCUUCUUCUUCUUCGUUUCGUUCAUUGUUAGUUGGAGCGUGGCUUUUGAGAGAAAGCCAAAGGGACGCCAUUUUCGUUUUUAUGGGAGGUUUUGAUCAUUUUGAUGUAAGCUUAAAUAGCUGUAUUGCUUGGCAGAUGCCAAAUUGAUUUCUUAGAAUUUACGAUGUGUUCCAGUUGGAUCGGGUUGGCAGUUGGAGAGCUUGCUACUAUUCUUGGUGUUAUAGACAAAUCUUGGAACCAUGUUGUCUACCACGUCCAGGAGCUGAGUAAUAUUUUGCAUGUGCAAUGUUUUGUAUGGCACCUUUUACUUUGGCCAUCCAAUCGGGCAGGCUGCAUGGAUUCUCAUUACUUUUGGUGGGAACAUCAAUAACAUACACUAAUUGGAGGUUAAUGUUUACGUAGCAGUGAUGUUGCUGUCCAAUAUGGCAUGUUGCAGCCUAUACUAGUGAAAGAUUUUUUGCAUGGAGUUAAACUGUUGCUGUUCCUUGGUGCUGGACUGCUGGUGUUGUGCAAAAAAGUUACAUCCAGUUUUAAUUGUUAUUUGUGUCCAUGCAGUUAACUGUUUAUAUGUUGAAAAGGAACAAAAACAGUUCCUUGGUGUUGAAUCGCUGGUGUUGUGCUAAAGAAGUUACAUCCAGUAUUUUGUUUACUUGCUAUUUGCUCUAUGAAGUUAACCGUUUAUAUGUUGAGAAUGAAAAAAAAUAGUAAUACGGGGAAUUUUUACGUUGAACAAAUAAUAAACAUGCCUUCGCGAUUGGGAAACCAACGAGGAGGAGAUUGGGGGGGGGGGGCAUUUGAUUUUCAUUAACUAGAAGUCGUAGUGGUUUAAUGAGGUAGAAAUAAAACCCUUUGUUAAUCACAUCCAUAUACCAACCCAUGCAUCCACAUCUAUUCCACAAACCCCAUAGUCUUCACCAACAUCAAUUCCCUAAACCCCAAUUUCCCCACAAAUGUUUGUAAUGUGUGUAUAAUAUUGUUGAAUAAAUAAACUAUAUAUGUAACAUGAAAAA